GUUGUAUGUCUGUUUUACUUAGAUACUAUCCCACCCUGGAGAGUAUCCAGGUGGGAUCCAACACAGAGGAUUGUCAUCAGAGUAGCUCUGAUUUACUUCCACUGUCAGUUUCAUAAGCAUGAAUUCUGGGUUAUAACCCAUGAGCAGUUGCACUUUUUAAUCCAACACAAAGGUUGUCAGAUUUCCAAGACAGAUUCCAGAUGACGAUACGAAAAGCUCGUCUGAGUAUGUGCUCUUCCUUAGGGAGAAAGAGGAGCCAGUGGACCUGUGGGAGAACAAGGUACUAAAGGAUGCUAUGGUGCCAAGGGCCCUAAGGGAAAACAGGGGACUAAAUGGACAGGAGGGAGAAGCUGGGGAAAGUGGAAUUGAUGGCUUAAAUGGAGAACAGGUCGAACCUCUCUUUGUAUCAUGAAAACCCUCUGAGCUAGUUCUCGUUAAGAAAAUGAGAAUAUGAGUUUAUUGUUCUCUGUGUUUUAGGGUGAUAGUGGUCUUCCUGGAGCAAAAAGGAGAGAAAGGCAUUGAAGGAGCCCAGGUAGGCAUUCAAUAAAGGGAUAAUGUAGAAACUGUACUGGGAUUCA
rnacentral:lncRNA from 1 species